GUACCUCGGGUUAAGUACUUAAUUCGUUCCGGAGGUCCGUUCUUAACCUGAAACUGUUCUUAACCUGAAGCACCACUUUAGCUAAUGGGGCCUCCUGCUGCUGCUGCUGCGCUGCUGCUGCACGAUUUCUGUUCUCAUCCUGAAGCAAAGUUCUUAACCUGAGGUAAUAUUUCUGGGUUAGCCGAGUCUGUAACCUGAAGCGUAUGUAACCUGAGUUUCCACUAUACAGUAUCAGCAACCUUUAGGAAAUUCCUGCUAGGACUUUAUGUCAUGUUAUAAUGAUCUGUUUCCAUUCCUCUCACACUCCUUAACAUAGAACUCAAUUAGUCCAUAGUUACAGGGGGGUUUUCUUUUGGUGCCAGCAUUGUUUUGAAAAAAACAGGAAAGGCGAUAGAGUGCUAUCUAUAAGUCUGGCACCUUUCUGCUAGCAUUUAUAUGGUCUCAAUACAGUUCUUCUGUGUAUGUCAUUACAAUGGCAUGUUUUUAUUGUUUACACUCACUGAGCAACUUAAGAAACGGAAGUAUUCUGUACAGUAAUUUAUGCUCUAAAGUGUGUGUGUAUGUAUAUAUGUAUGUAUGUAUAUGUAUAUGUAUAUAUAUUGAAAGGUUUGAAGUUAUUAAUUUAUUGAAUCAGUUGGCAUUUCCUCCCCAGUCUCCAAGGGUGCUUCAGAAAGGAAGAGCAAUAUCAAGGAGCCCAGGGAAUUGCCUUUUGGUCUGUCUGGCUCACUCUCAUUUUCACUGACAGGCCGCAGCUCUCCAAUAUUUUAGACAAGGGGGACUCUCCCACUCCUACUUGGAAAUAUCAGGAACUGAAAUUUGGACCUACUGCAUCCUGAGUUAUGACUCUCUCCCCAGCUCUAUGUCAUGGGCAACUUUUUUCGACCUAACUUUCCAAAACACCCUUGUAGUUGCAGAUAACUUUCUUCUUAGACAAUACUAAUCUGAGGCUAUGGCUGCUGCGUUUUGAUCACUUUGCGGUGAAUUAUUUAUGCCAAACCUAUUAUCAAUUUAAUUAGAAGUAGCAAUGUCAGAGUGUCAAUCCAAGCAAUACAUAGCAAAUUAGGAAGGGAAGGGAGUCAUAUUAAUUCUUUAUAACAGCAUAACUACAAAACAUACAUGAUACGUGACAAGAACGAACUGCAAAGUGCUUUUCCAUUUUGCCUCUUUGAGACCAAAAGCAGGAAGCCAAUCAAAAUACUAAGCCGAUCUGCAGCAAGUCUGUCUCAAUUCCUUCCUCAAGCAAGCUGAAAUGAUGCAUCCAUUGGUGUGUCCAUUUGUUGAUGAUAAUGAAUACAGGUGUGUUCUUAAUCUUGAGGGGUUAAUUCACAUGCUGUUUGUACCAGUGUAUAUUCACGUCAUUAGAACUGCAUCAAUGUGAGUGGUUUGUCAUUUCCUGAGAGUUUCGUCUCAGCCAAGCAUGUGACUGAUGGAGUGAAUAGCGUGCUUACGUACUAUUUGAACUUGAUGGUCUCCCAAAUUUUGUAAUAGGAAUCGCAGGAUGUGCAAGCAAUGUCUGUAUUAUUCUGCCUCCUAGAGUAUCAAACUACUUGACAUAGCUCACCAGAUAACAUUUAUUCAAUGCCAUGUUUGCAAAUAAAAUAUUAAAUCCGUUGGCCCCACUUCAUGAUAAAGAAAAUAAUGUGAGAGGUUUGUUUGUUUAUAGCUCUUUUACAUAGCUCUUUUACAUAGUUAAAGUUCAUGUGUAUAAAGUGAUGAAAUAUUAUUGACAAAUUGUUUUGCUGUUUGGAGAUUUUGCUGUUUCUACCAUUCAUACAAAACUCAUGUAGCACAGUUCCUGGAAUGGUGAAAAACCCUACUGUAAUGUUACAGAAUGAGCCUUAAGGAUUUGUUUUUGUUUUGUUUUUUAAAAAAGCACUUUUAUAUUAUAAAUAUUAAUUCAUCGAUAAGAUUACUUUUUUAAUGUGAAAAUAAACCAUGAACUCGACACCUUUAACAUCUCAA